AGCUUCAAAGGUUCAAAGAAACCUAAUUCACAUAAAAAACAAACCUUUUCAUAUAAAAUAACAAUUACUGGAUAACUGGAAUAUAAACAGAUACGUUUCAGUACUCAUAAACACAUACACAAUUACAUCAACUAAAGUGUAGAAUCAUUUCUGAGUGAGUUUAUCAUUAUCUCAGCUCACCAACACAAAAUCAGUAAAAUCUUAUAAAUUGAGUGAAUGGAUAGUUCUGCAGAUAAACAAAUAUAUGAAUUCAAAAUCAAACAGCAGACGAAUCGUAACUAAAGGUGUAAGCUUUAGAUUCUCGAACUCACCCGAUUCGAAGAAAGAUGAAU